CAGGUCUUGACAUCCUCUGACAACCCUAGAGAUAGGGCUUUCCCUUCGGGGACAGAGUGACAGGUGGUGCAUGGUUGUCGUCAGCUCGUGUCGUGAGAUGUUGGGUUAAGUCCCGCAACGAGCGCAACCCUUGAUCUUAGUUGCCAGCAUUUAGUUGGGCACUCUAAGGUGACUGCCGGUGACAAACCGGAGGAAGGUGGGGAUGACGUCAAAUCAUCAUGCCCCUUAUGACCUGGGCUACACACGUGCUACAAUGGACAGAACAAAGGGCUGCGAGACCGCAAGGUUUAGCCAAUCCCAUAAAUCUGUUCUCAGUUCGGAUCGCAGUCUGCAACUCGACUGCGUGAAGCUGGAAUCGCUAGUAAUCGCGGAUCAGCAUGCCGCGGUGAAUACGUUCCCGGGCCUUGUACACACCGCCCGUCACACCACGAGAGUUUGUAACACCCGAAGUCGGUGAGGUAACCUUUAUGGAGCCAGCCGCCGAAGGUGGGACAGAUGAUUGGGGUGAAGUCGUAACAAGGUAGCCGUAUCGGAAGGUGCGGCUGGAUCACCUCCUUUCUA
rnacentral:rRNA from 1 species